CACGUAGGGCGCAAGCGUUGUCCGGAAUUAUUGGGCGUAAAGAGCUCGUAGGCGGUCUGUUACGUCUGCUGUGAAAACCCUGGGCUUAACCCUGGGCUUGCAGUGGAUACGGGCAGACUAGAGGCAGGUAGGGGGAGAAUGGAAUUCCCGGUGUAGCGGUGAAAUGCGCAGAUAUCGGGAGGAACACCGGUGGCGAAGGCGGUUCUCUGGGCCUGACCUGACGCUGAGGCGCGAAAGCGUGGGGAGCAAACAGG
rnacentral:rRNA from 1 species